rnacentral:lncRNA from 1 species
AGACUCGGGGUGCUGGCAGCGGCAGCCCACGCCUCCCAGGGAUUGCAGGCCUGGGCGCCGGGGUUGGACCAGUCUCCCGGGCAUGGCACGCCCUGGUUAUUCUGUACCCGUGAUUUGUGGCGGGGCAAGACGUUAAGUUGGGUGACACCGAGGUGAGCCACGGUCCUCGGCACCAGAUGAGGAACCACUGUCUCAAUAAGGUCUCAGUGCUGUGUGUGUAAUGGUUACCGUGAGAGCUUCCCUGCAAUCCGAAUUUGUGUGUCUCAUUCUCAGUGACACCAGUGAUGCUGUUAAACAAGGACAAUCCGGUUCAUGGAUUGUGACAACGCACGCUGACAUCAAGCAGACCCUGCCGUCAGGUACAGAGGGCACCACAGUGACCAGGAACUGCUGUCCUUUCAUACCAGGUUUUAGGAGGCUUUACCAGAAGGAAUGGAAAAUGCUGGUGGGCAGUAAGAUUGAAACAGCAUCUGAGGACUGGUUCUGCACAAAACCUUAAAUUCUUCAAGGACUUUGACAUUUGUUUAUUCUUGUAACAAAUUAAAACCUAUCCUGUGUGUUGGUUAGAGAUCUUCAAACUGUAAAUACCUUGAGGCAGGAGUGAGGUUUUUAUCUUUUAAAGGACAGGCCCCUACUCUCCUACGUAAUGAGUUUCUAAAAAUGGAUGUGAGCACCAAUCAAUAUUUCUCUGGUUGUUAAAGUCAAGAAUAAAAUGGUAUUUUUAAGCUCGCAACUGUGUAGGAUGAAUUCUGUACACUUUUAUUUCCCUCUGUUCUCCUUUCCUAUUUGAAAGUUUAUUAGUUUGUGGACUUGGGAUCGGAUUAUUCAUGCAUUAUUUUUUGAUGUUGUAUGUCUCUUGGUUCUUGGGUAUUUUUGACACAUAUUCUGUCUUGUAACCAUAGUUAAACAAUUGUUUUAGACCAACUCUCUGUGUGUAAUUGGCUUCAACACUCACUGCUAGUCCUUUGACGCUCUGUUUUUUUCCAUUCUUGAGUAAUUUUAAGUCAUCACUUGGGCAGUUGAAAUAUAUUUUAAAGUGAUUUAAAGAAUAUGUGAGUGGCAGACAUUCUGAACUCUUUUGGUUGUCUGUCCUCAAAAACUAAAACUUAUUUGUGAGUAAAAUU